AAAUAAAAAGAGUUAAGGAUAUUUCUAUUCUUCUCCCAGCCGCAGACCCCGCCACCGUCUGACUCUCUCUCUUUCACGCUAAACCCAGUCGUCGGCCGUUGCUCCAACCGCCUCGCCUUUGACCGUGCCGCCGUCCACCUUCGUAGCGUCGCCGGUCAGCCCUCUAUUCUUCACCGUCAGUUUCUCUCUCUCCAUCUUUCUCUCUAGGUCUCUCACAGUUUUCUCUCUCUAAGAGUUUCGUCCGGCCGCCGCCCCACCAUCAGUCCCCCGGAUUGCCAGAGCCGCCGUCGUCUCCGCCGCUUGGAACCCAACGCCAUCGCUCUUGUGGGUUUUCGUCGGAGCUUUGUUUGGGUAAGUUUUUGGUGAUUUUAAAAGGAGGUUUAAGGUGUAUCUGGAUUAUCCAUGGAAGUUUUGGCCUAAUGGUUGGUUUAGUUUCGAUUUAGGAGUUUGGAGUUGAGGUCUUGAGGUGUUUAUAGUCGCUGUCUAGCAAUAUCAAGGAGUGAUUUUGAUGGAUUUUAGGGCAUUGAUCAAGAUUUAUCUAAGUGAGAAGUAGGAUUGAUUGAGGCAAGAGAACCACCCUAGUUAGGCGACAUGGACAGGACGAUAGUAUUUGAUUUGUCUUGAGCAGCAUGAUAUGAGUAUUAUUGAAUUGUGAUGUGUAUUAUGAUUUAUGAUUCAACGCUUAUUUUGAGCA